CUAGAUUGUGUUCAACUGGUUCAACUGCUUUUGACUACCAAAUACCUCCAAGCAGGGACUGGGAGCCAGGAUGUGCUGCUCUGACCUACUGGCCGACUUGGCCGGAUUGAAGUACCCAAGUUCCGAUGUUGUGUCUCUUCUGGCAAAAGAAAAACGACAGCUGAGUAAAGCAGAGGUUUAUUCUCAGUGCCUAAUGCAGGUGUCUAUUGAUAAUGCAGUGUAAAAACAAUUUUGGGGCCUGUCCUCCUAGCUGCUGAAACUGCAGAAGAGCAUACUUGGCGUGCUGAGGUUCCAGGCUCUGUGCAUCCUCUGGGAUGGAUCUCAUCGCUGCCCUUUCCGCUGGGGACCAUGCAGGGGACACAGAAACGCUGCUGCCAAGGGGUGCAGAGAAGGAUGCGACAGCAUCACCAGCCUUGGAAGAAGUGACAGCAACAAGGGAGAUGGAAAGUCUGAAGGUGGCCAACUCUGAUGGAGCAGUGAUGGAAGCGUCAGAAAACCCAGAGGCAGAAGGAAUUGCUGAAAUGAUCCGAGCAGCAGAAAGAAUAGCAAAAUGCGAAGUGGCCAAAGUGCUGCAGUCAGCAAUAGCUGAGCUCAAAGAGAUGAGGAGGAGCACGUGGUUAAAGCCAAGGAACACCACCCAACAGGAGGAGGAGGACUGGGAGAAGAAGUGAGAGGUGAUGUGAAGUGAAGAUUUUCAUCGCCAGGGGAGAUGAGGACAGGACGGAAAGCAAUCCUUGUGCUUCAUGGAGGCUUUUCCCAGAGCUCUGAAGGUCAGAUGCUCACUUUUCCAGCUGAGGAAUUUGGGACUAUUCGUGCUGCCUACCUUUAAGGUGCCUGUUUUGUGUCCCGAAGUGAUGAAGCUCUUCCUUCGAACUUCUGUGCUUCCUCUGGAAUGAACCCUUAGAGACCAGCCUCCCAGAACUGGGUACGAAGAUCAGCGUAUAACUGAAAUGCCAUCUUGCAGAGCACAGUGACCUCUCUGGAGGGCUGUCCUUGGGCUGUGGCUUCAUGCUCCCCUGUCCCACGGGAGACACUGGAUUUCCUUCCUAGCCUGUCUCCCACGGAGCACUUUGGAGUACUUAUGUUUCUGUAGUGCAGGACUAAUCUGGAAAGCAGCUCAGAGCACACGUGGGAAGGUGUCCUAUGCAAAGGCUGCCCUCAAGCACCGCUCUGCAGCCCCAGCUUGGCCAUUCACGGUGCGUUUUGUUUGCCAAACAUAAAUUGAAAUAGGUCUUGAACAAUUGCACUGGCAUGUGUGUGUCUUUUUCUCCAGCCAAGCAGUGAAGGCACCGUGGCUCCUGUUACAGAGCAUGCCAAUACUUGGAACACGCUCCUGCCAAUAUCCCACAUAAAUCACGCCUUAUCCAGCCCUCCUCAGUCCUUCUGGAGAUUCCUACUUCACUGCAAGUGAUAUGUGAUGGAUCUGUGCUUCCUCGGAGCAUCACAUGGCAGGCAGAUCUCAAUAUGCAUAUUUACGCCUGGAGCUGCACCUCGACUCCUUGGGUUGCAUUGCGUAUGUGUAGCGAUUCCACGGCCAAGACUGCUUGCACAGGUAUGGAGGUGGGUUGUAAAACAGCACCCGUGGGACACAAAUCAACCAUGGUUGACGGAAUAGUGUUUCUCUGUGGGCAUCAAGAGAUGCAAUGGUUUCUAGUGUCCGUGAGGUAAUGUUGGAAUUACAAAUAAUAACAACAAAAGCCCAAUGGCUUCCCAGGCCGUGCUUCCCACACCUCCCCACCAUGUCAGAACAAUGACCGUGGACAAGAUUAAACCUGGCACCAUUCUCCUCCUGCACACAGAGGCAGAACUGCGGCUCUGCUGAAGACCGCAGGAAUUACCCCGGGGCUGGCUUGCAACCUCCGCUGCAUCCUUUCUGUGCAUGGUAACGAGGUGCUUUUCUUCUGCCAUGAGACCUACACGUGUCACGCUCGCUUGUGGCAUCGUCCUCAUUGCAGUUCCACGUGGAAGAGCAGAGCCUCCCAUGCCCAGACCCUCCUGCUUGGCCGCUGCCUGAGGAUGCGUGUCUUGCCAAGGUUUUGCCUUAAGCAGAGGAAGGAUGAAAAAUGCAGGGCCAGAGACUUUCUUACAGCUGAAAACCGCUGUCUGCUGCGCUGCUCCUCGGGACAGCACCGAGCAGGGAAACGCCUCCGCCACCCAGCAGUCAUUCUCUUCAUAGUGGGACAAGUGCAGAAUGGUGGAGGGGAAGCUCGGAUGGUGGUCCUGUCCAGGGAGACGCAGCCUCAUGUCUCCCACCCUCCUCCGCUUUGAUGACUGAACAUGUAGGACCGGUAAAACUCAAAUUUCAGAAGGGCUUUUUUUGAUAGUUAUAUAAAGGCAUCUAUUCCCGGAUAAGAUCUUCCAAGCAGAUCUUAUCUGGGAAUUAUUUUUGUGGUAGCAAUGGGGUGAUCAUCACAGAACCAUUAAGGCUGGAAAAGCCCUCUAAGGUAAGCCAGUCCAACUGUUCGCCUGUGACCAAUAUUGACCAUUAACCAUCAUCUCUGCUCUAAGUGGUUAAUCUUAACUGAAGCUAGAACACCUGAAAAGAGACAGCUGUAGUAUUUCUCCAGCUCUGGAGGUGGCAAAAACCUCUCAGCUAAAACAUUUGUAGCAAAUAAAUGGAUGCAGUUGCAGUGAUGUUUAAGCUUAGUGACUUCAUCUCAAUGCAGCUGAAUUAUUGCACUUUGUAUUUUCUGUCCCUCUCCCACACAGCAUGAAACAUUCGUUCCCUAGAAAUUUCCUUUGGUUUUAUUUAAACCAUUAAAAGUAAAACAAAUAGUACCUCCCUCAAGAAACGGCUGAGUUGAGCUAAGCUUCUUGCUCUGCUCCAAAUUUUUGAGAAAUACUGAUUACAUCAAAAUGAAAAUCAGUGUGUUUCGGGUGUUUGAAGGAGAAUUCUUGUUUCCUUUUAUUAUCUGGAGUUCCUCAACGAAAAAAACUACUUCCAAUUGAGCCACCUGGACAGUGAUUUGCAGAUUGAAAACAAACAGAAUCUCAUGGUUAAAGAGGUUCCUGAACGGGGGCAGGUGCUGUUGCAUUGCUCUAGAUUCCACUUGGAGAGCUGAAGGAACCAAAGGCACUGACUCAGAGCGUCUCAGCAGGAUUGAUCCAAUACAGACUGAUGACUGGCGUCUACGUGGAGGGAAAAGCUGAAGUCCUGCUCACAAUGGGUUCUCAGGACUCGCUGUGCACUUUGCCUCCCGACCUCCUGUUUUGCUGCAGGACCCCACAGAGCACACCCCUGAAAUCAGCCUUGCACAUACAAGGAGUGAAACCAUGGAGGGGAAGGAGUGACCCCGUGAAGGAGUGGAGACGCCAGAGCUGCAGGGGAGAGGCUGCCUGGGAAGUCAGAUGAGGACAGAAGGCAUCAGCCUUUCCAGGAAAGAACCUGUCCUUGCACAUUUCCUCGUGUCUGGGCUUCAACAACGUGAUUGCGAGCACAUGAGAAGAAGAAAACACCCCCCAUUUUGCUGAGCCCCAGCAGGGUGAACAGAGGGAAAAGGUGCUUCAGGGCAGGAAGAAACUGUGAAGAAACAGGUUUGGACAGGAGUUGAAGGAUUGUAUGCCCAAUUGAGCCUACAACUGAAAGCAAUGAGCUGGAUGGACACUCCUGGUAUGGGGUUGGAGGGUGAGUACUACCUGCCUGAGUACCACACCGCUUCCUUUAGGACACUGGGAGAUUUGCUGGAGCUCGCCCAUCUGACCCAAUCCUCCACAUGAGAUCUGGCAAGAUAAUCACUCCAAGCGUCUGGAAAGAAGCCCUUGCUUUCUCCACUGCACCUGAGGAACCAAUGGCAGAUGAUGGAGACAGAAUGGCUCACUGCUCUCAUGGCUGGAGAAGCGGUGGGAAGCUCUUGGCACCACAACCUCUGAGUUAAUGUACUCUGCUCUGCUCGCUGUGCCUCCUUGCUCCCAGCAUGGGCAUGGACUCCUGUUAUGCAGCAUGCCACAUUUUUUUCCUGCGGAAGACACCAAGAUUAGAUGAGAGGACGUGUUCGGCAGCAGAAGAGAAAGUCUCUGGCCAGCACACUUGAACUUUGGCCAGGCUGGCUUACCCAAGCAGUGAUUUUGGUCAACACACAACUUCUGUCCUGACCUUGCCAUCACAGAGGAAAAUGUCCAGUUAUGCAGCCUCCAGACUAAACCGCCACCAGCCCAAUGGAGACAACCUCAUCUGGGAGCUUGGGACUACCGAUGGGCACAGAAGAUUCAGCUUGGAAGCCAAUGGUUUAAUCGAAGCAUUGCAUGGAAGGUCCGGUCCUUGGCUGAUUGAUGGCUUGCUUGCUGACAGCUGGAAUGGCUCAUUCUUUGGGGCAGAAACCCAGUGGCAGCACUCAGUGAAGCAAGUGUUGAAGUGUUGACCCUUCCUGAGCCGUAAGUCUAGAGGAAACCAGUUAUUUUAUAUUAAUUUUUUUUAAUCCACUGGGGAUGGAAGGAAGAGUUGGUUGCUUCCUUGUACCUUACAAAGAAAUAGCCUCAUCCCCUCCCCCACCGUCCCUAUUGCUGGGUGCAGAAACUGUUCAAAUUAACCAAUGUUGGGGUUUUUGGUGGGUUUUUCUUUUUUCAACCAAAAAAAUCUAAAGGCAAAUAGUAUGAGGUCCUACAGCAGCCCAGCAUCUCUCUGAAUCCUUCCCCAAGCAACUUUUUCAACAGCACUUGGCCGCAAAGUCUAGAGAGCUCAGAGAUACAAAAUUCUUACAGGUUUUAUGAGUAGAUGGUUGAAUGGAGAUGACAGAGUAAAUUAGCACCUCUAUUGCAAAAAGUAGUGUUGUAGUGUUAAUUAAUUCCUUAACAAACAGCAGAGGAUCCUCAGCAGAGGCUGGGUCAAGGGGAGCCAAAGGGCUUUCUGAUCUCCCCCAGCUGUGGAGAAGCUCCAGUUAAAACUCUCACUUUAUCAGCCAUCUCACUGUGCAGUGGCACCUUGAAAAACAAACAAACUGGUUUUAUUUGUUCCCCGUCUCUCAGAACUUCUUGCUUAUGUGACAUCUUCAUUGAUAACUUAUGUGCAUGUGGGAGCUCUUCUGUAUCUCCUCUUUAGUCUCAUUUCUGAAGGAAAGGAAUAUCCCCUGGCUUAGAGCCACAUUGGAUGGGGUGAUACAACAGAAAGGAAACUUUCCAGUUUUGUCCUCCAGUCAAGAAAGAGGGCUGGUGUAAAUAAUUCCUCACAAAUGAGUGCUUUGAUAUCUUUGGCUCUUUCAGACUAUCUGGGAGUAGAUGCUUGAUAAAUUUCUCAUUUUAACUGGUGUAGCAAAUCUCUGGAGAAACCAACUGCUGUUUGCUGCACAUCUAUAGUAGUUAGCCAGAUUCCUCUGUUCUGAUUUGUCAGAUAGAGUGACUGAUGAUGUUUGUAAAUGUAAAUUUUAAGUUUCCUCAAAUUCUAGUGUGUAAAGCUUCAAAACAGUCAUUUU
ensembl:lncRNA